CAGCCGCCGCGGGAAUACCGGGGAUGCAGGCGUUAUCCGGAAUGAUUGGGCGUAAAGCGUCUGUAGGUGGCUUUUCAAGUCCGCCGUCAAAUCCCAGGGCUCAACCCUGGACAGGCGGUGGAAACUACCAAGCUGGAGUACGGUAGGGGCAGAGGGAAUUUCCAGUGGAGCGGUGAAAUGCGUUGAGAUCGAAAAGAACACCAACAGCGAAAGCACUCUGCUGGGACGACACUGACACUAAGGGACGAAAGCUAGGGGAGCAAAUGGGAUUAGAUACCCCCGUAGUCCCUGUCUCUUAUAC
rnacentral:rRNA from 1 species